rnacentral:lncRNA from 1 species
AGUUUAUUUAAUAUUGCAAUAAAUAUUAAAUAAUGUAAUAUGACAUAUCUGUGUGUGUGUGUGUGUGUGUGUGUUUGUGUAUGAGAAAGUGUGUAUGUGUGAACCGACCGGAACAUACGUAUAGAUUUACACAUACAUACACACCGCUGUAUUAGUCUUUGAACAUUCGGUUGUGAAUGUUUUAUAUCGUUUCGCCUAGCUCUACCCUAAAUCGACGGAAAAGCUAUUGCAGACAAGACCUUGAACCCAGCUGACAGUAUUUAAAUAAGUAAGUAUUCAUAUAGCUACUAUUCUCUUACUAAAAAUACGAAGUUAAGACUGUCUCGCUGUAUUAUAUAUAUAUAUAUAUAUAUAUUCUUUUAUUCUUUUACUUGUUUCUGUCAUUUGACUGCGGCCAUGCCGGAGCACUGCAUUUAGUUGAGUAAAUCGACUGCAAGACUUAUUCUUUGCAAGCUUGGUACUUAUUUUAUCGGUCUAUUUUGCUGAACUGCUAAGUUAGGGGGAUGUAAACACAACAUCAUCGGUUGUCAAGCGAUGCUGGGGAGACAAACACAGACACAAAUAUAUACACACGCAUAUAUAGGAUCGCGUGUGUAUAUAUUUGUGUCUGUUUGUCUCCCCAGCAUCGCUUGACAACCGAUCCUAUAUAUGCGUGUGUAUAUAUAUAGUGUGUAUAUAUAUAUAUAUAUAUAAUGCUGUAUGAUCGUUUCAAGUGACUCCAUUUAAGUGAACAAUGCAACCAUUACAUCAAUUUAAAUGCUUUGCACUUAAAUGGAGUCACUUGAAGAUUGCUCUGCACUUAAAUGGAGUCACUUGAAACGAUCGUACUGCAUUACCUCUAGAUAUUCUGAUGCUUAUUUUGAUUUUGAAAUUGUAUGUAUAUCAUUCUAAAAUUCUAGUGCCUCAACUAAUUCAUCUGCAUGUAUAUAUAAAUAUAUAUAUAUAUAUAUAUAUAUAUAUAUAUAUAUAUCACGUGAUCACGUGACCGACCAGACCAUCAGAUGUUGCUACACAUCGCUGGUCACAAUGCGCUUCGCAUUGUUCUGGCCUUCGAAUGACGCCACCCCGCUGGCUAAGCGAGCAGGCCAACAGAAGAAAGAGUGAGAGAAAGAGUGGUGAAAGAGUACAGCAGGGAUCACCUCCCCCUGCCGGAGCGUCGUGGAGCUUUUAGAUGUUUUCGCUCAAUAAACACACACAACGCCCGGUCUGGGAAUCGAAACCGCGAUCCUACGACUGCGAGCCUUAACCACUGGGCCAUUGCGACUCCACACACACACACACACACACACACACACACAUAUAUAUAUAUAUAUAUAUAUAUAUAUAUAUUACAUAUAUAUAUAUUAUAUUACAUAUAUAUGUGUGUGUGUGUGUGUGUAUGUGUGUGUGUGUGUGAAGGCACGUGGCUUAGUGGUUAGGGCAUUCGGCUCACGAUCGAAACGUUGAGUGUUCGAUUCUCAGUGAUGCAUUGUGUCCUUGAGCAAGACACAUUAUUUCACGUUGCUCCAGUCCACUCAGCUGGCAAAAACGAGUGGUACCUGUGUUUCAAAGGGCCAGCCUUAUCACGCUCUGUGUCCACACCGAAUAUCCCUGAAAACUAGGUUAUGGGUACACAUGUCUGUGGAGUGCUCAGCCACUUGCAUGUUAAUUUCACGAGCAAGCUGUUCCAUUGAUUGAAUCAGCUGUGGCCCUUUUCGUCAUAACCGAUUGAGUGCUCCUAUAUAUUUUGUUGUAUUUCGAGAUGGUCAUUUAAAAAAAAAUUUUUGCCAAAUAUACACACGCACUAUAUAUUCGUCGUUCACUCUUUUGUUACACACCUGUGACCUGUUCAGCGACACUUCCCUUCUCUGUGUGUGCUUUUGCUCUGCUUAUUCCAUUCCGUUCUUCCAGAACAGAACUGAAUAACAGAAUGGACUAAGCAGGACAAAGAGCACACACAAAGAUGGAAAGUGUCGCAGAGGAGGUCACAGAUGUGUGACAAAAGAUUUCUGGACAAUGGACAUGAGUUUGAAUAAGAACAGUAAUAAACGAAUGAGCUACUAAUACUUUCAAAGACUGAAAACAAUUCAGACAGCAUUUUAUAACACGUCUGCUGUCUUCACGCAAUCAUCGAAGGCACCAGACGUGUUAUACAAUCGGCAAUUUCUGUCAAAAAAUAUAUUAUUUCUUUAAUUUUUAUACAUACAUGCAUACACACACACACACACACACACGCACAUACACGCACACACAUAUAUAUUUUAUAAGGCGGCGAGCUGGCAGAAACGUUAGCACGCCGGGCGAAAUGCGUAGCCGUAUUUCGUCUGUCGCUACGUUCUGAGUUCAAAUUCCGCCGAGGUCGACUUUGCCUUUCAUCCUCUCGGGGUCGAUAAAUAAAGUACCAGUGUCGCACUGGGUCGAAGUAAUCGACUUAAUCCAUUUGUCUGUCCUUGUUUGUCCCCUCUAUGUUUAGCCCCUUGUGGGUAGUAAAGAAAUAUAUAUUUAUACACAUACAUGAAUA